AACGUAGGAGGCAAGCGUUAUCCGGAGUUACUGGGCGUAAAGCGUGCGUAGGCGGAUUGCUAAGUGGGUGGUGAAAGCGCCCGGCUAAACCGGGCGAGGACCAUUCAGACUGGCAGUCUGGAGGCGGAUAGAGGGGUGCGGAAUUCCGGGUGUAGCGGUGAAAUGUGUAGAGAUCCGGAGGAACACCAGUGGUGCAAACGGCGCCCUGGGUCCGAACUGACGCUGAAGCACGAAAGCGUGGGGAGCGAACGGG
rnacentral:rRNA from 1 species